rnacentral:rRNA from 1 species
AGCGAACGCUGGCGGCGUGCCUAACACAUGCAAGUCGAACGUGAAAAGGGAAACCUGAGUAAAGUGGCGUACGGGUGAGUCACGCGUAGGUAAUCUACCCCAGAAUCUGGAAUAACCUGCCGAAAGGCGGGCUAAUACUGGAUAGAGCGAGGGAACUCGUAAGAGAGUUUUUCGGGAAAGGGAGCCCGCAAGGGCCUUCGUUCUGGGAUGAGCCUGCGUCUCAUUAGCUAGUUGGUAAGGUAACGGCUUACCAAGGCGAUGAUGAGUAGCUGGUCUGAGAGGAUGAUCAGCCACACUGGAACUGAAACACGGUCCAGACUCCUACGGGAGGCAGCAGUGGGGAAUCUUGCGCAAUGGACGAAAGUCUGACGCAGCCACGCCGCGUGCGUGAAGAAGGCCUUCGGGUUGUCAAGCUCUGUCGGAUGGGACGAACAUCUUCAUAGUGAAUAGCUAUGAGGACUGACGGUACCAUCAAAGGAAGCACCGGCUAACUCCGUG